GUUAAACAUAUACUUAACAUGUGACCCAGCCAUUCUACUCUUAGGCAAUUUACUUAAGAUAAAUGAAAGCAUAUGUCCGUAUACAUUUUGAACAUGAGUUUUUAUUAUAGCAAUGUUAUUUUGAGCCAACAGAAAAUUCAUAGGAAUAAGACUCAGAAGUUCUAAAGAAGAUAUAAUUUGAGUUUUCAUAGCAGAUGGCUGCCUGUGAAA
rnacentral:lncRNA from 1 species